rnacentral:rRNA from 1 species
UACGAAGGGGGCUAGCGUUGCUCGGAAUUACUGGGCGUAAAGCGCACGUAGGCGGAUCUUUAAGUCAGGGGUGAAAUCCUGGAGCUCAACUCCAGAACUGCCUUUGAUACUGAGGACCUUGAGUUCGGGAGAGGUGAGUGGAACUGCGAGUGUAGAGGUGAAAUUCAUAGAUAUUCGCAAGAACACCAGUGGCGAAGGCGGCUCACUGGCCCGAUACUGACGCUGAGGUGCGAAAGCGUGGGAGCAACAGG